rnacentral:rRNA from 1 species
AGUGAACGCUGGCGGUAGGCCUAACACAUGCAAGUCGAGCGGAAGAACAGUACGAGCUUCUGCAUACAGCGGGGGACGGGCGAGUAAGUGCGAGGAACAUGGGUGUUUGCUGUUGCUAGCGGGCUGACACAGGGGCACAUACCGCAAUCGUCCUUACGGCGUAAGGGUGAGAGCAUGGGACCUUCGGCUCUCGCACGAGUCUAUGUCGGAUUAGCUAGUUGGUGGGGUAAAGGCCUACCAAGGCGACGAUCCGUAGCUGGUCUGAGAGGAUGAUCAGUCACACUGGAACUGAGACACGGUCCAGACUCCUACGGGAGGCAGCAGUGGGGAAUAUUGGACAAUGGGCGAAAGCCUGAUCCAGCCAUGCCGCGUGUGUGAAGAAGGUCUUCGGAUUGUAAAGCCCUUUAAGUUGGGAGGAAGGGCAGUAAGUUAAUACCUUGCUGUUUUGACGUUACCAACAGAAUAAGCACCGGCUAACUUCGUG